rnacentral:tRNA from 1 species
GGAGGAGUGGCUGAGUGGUUUAAGGCGACGGUCUUGAAAACCGUUGGCCGCGAAAGCGGCCCGUGAGUUCGAAUCUCACCUCCUCCG